UACGUAGGGUGCAAGCGUUAAUCGGAAUUACUGGGCGUAAAGCGUGCGCAGGCGGUUGUGUAAGACAGAUGUGAAAUCCCCGGGCUCAACCUGGGAACUGCAUUUGUGACUGCACGGCUGGAGUGCGGCAGAGGGGGAUGGAAUUCCGCGUGUAGCAGUGAAAUGCGUAGAUAUGCGGAGGAACACCGAUGGCGAAGGCAAUCCCCUGGACCUGUACUGACGCUCAUGCACGAAAGCGUGGGGAGCAAACAGG
rnacentral:rRNA from 1 species